AAUAGGUAGAUAUAUAGUAUUAGCGUGUUUACGUGAUGAAAACGUGGAAAAUCAACGAAUAUUUCAUGAAUACUUCACAUAACCUCAAAAAACUUACUACGCUCAACAAAUAUAGCAGAAAAACAAAGAAAAAGGUAAAAUUCUGAGUCAUGAUACAAAACAUCUCAACAAGUUUCGAGCCAAUUGAAGGAAACCUGUGUUUAAAUUUAAAUCCAACAGAAAUUUAAUCCAAUCAUAGGUAAAUUUCAUCAUGGUAACAAGUAUUUGACUAGGACAAGUCCAAAUUUUCUAUCAGCUCGUUAGACCCUCGGUGCGCGUGGCUGGAAAUCAAUUAUCGACGAUGAAUUUAAUGAAAUUUCCGAAUUGGGUCGACACUUUCCACUUUCACGUUCACGCUUCGCGUUUUGCUCCUCAGCACUCGUCGCGAAUCUUUCGCUGCGUGACUACCGCAAAACAAACAAAAGGCAGACGCGCACGAAACUUCGUUAGCAGCAGGUGCCAUUAGUAGUGACAGUGGUAGUUAGUUAAUAAGAAAUAGAUUAAGCUCGGACGGUGCGCCGGAACGCGGCCGACGACUGCGAACGCGACGACAAAGACAACGCUUGAAAUAAUGGCGGCGAGGAAAAGUUCCCUUUUCGGCAUAACAAAGGCUUUUGUUCUCAGAAUAGCAACGAGUACCGGAAAGCGGAAAAGUAGUUGUUAAUCUACGACAGAUUUCACUUUCGCGUUUUUUAAAUGUUUGCUGAUUUUAAUUUGAAUUUUUGGUAUGCUAAUAAACACUUCAAAGUCUAAUGAAGUGUCGCGCACGUAUUGUGUUGCAGUAUUGCUGUGAUUUUGUGAUGCUUAUCACUUUCACAGCUCAUAAUUUCGUCAUCGUUGAUGCUGUAAUAAUUAGCACGUUUUGCUAGCGGUACGCAUUGAACGUAAGAGCGCGUCAUGAAUAUUUAUUAAGUGUUUUCUGAUGUCGCACCAACCGGAGCGAAAUUGGAAUUGAAACGUCAACGAAAACGAUGGAAGCAAAACGCGCGACAACGCCGCUUGCGAUAAUUUCAUUCCGGGUGUGCGUCUUAAAUUAAUUUUCGCAUCUUUUGCGCCCAAUUUAGAACGCGACGCCUAUUUUAAGAAAAAAUUUUGGAAAUAUUACAUUUUAGACGUGCGCAUGUUGUAAAACAUCGCCUAAUCAAAUAAAUCGAGAUUUGGGGGAGAAAAUCAAGUCGUAAUAUUGAUGUAAACUCAAGCAGGUGA